GCAUAGUGCAGUGGUAUGUGUGUUUAGUCCUAGCUACUUGGGAGGCCGAGGCAAGAGGAUUCCUUGAGUGCAGGAGUCCUGGGCUGUAGUGCACUAUACUGAUCAAGUGUCCACAUUAAGUUUGGCAUUGAUGGUGACUGACCUUCUAGGAGCAGGGGACUACUAGGCUGCUUCAGGAAGGAUAAACCAGGUUGGAAACAGAGCACAUUAAAAUUCCUCUGCUGAUCAAUAGUGGGAUUGUGCCUGUGAAUAGCUACUGUACUCCAGCCUGGGCUUUAUAGCAAGACCCUGUU
rnacentral:SRP_RNA from 1 species